CUACCAAUAAUUUGGAUCCCACCAGUACUCCAGGAGGACAGCAGAGUUACCAUAGGAUACCUCUGUCCAGCAGAGAAGGGAUGCAGAUUAUUAAGGUCCCUGUACAAUAUUAGAUCCGCGUUCAGCAAGUUUGAAUAGGGACCGUUGGACCGAGGACCACAUCAAUGAGUAGAUGAGGUCUCCAAUUCGUCUGGAAAAACCUGCCCGAUUAACACCUGGAUGAUUAUUGCCCAAAUAUCAAUCAGGGAGGUCCGUCUAGGAGGGCCCCAUUAAUGGGCAGAUAAGAUGCCGAAUUGGUCUAAAGGACUCUAAUCGACAGUGUAAAUCUGCCUGUGUAUGGCCACCUUAAGGCUAAUGUCACAUUGUUAAUCCAGUUUGAUGCAAUCCCAUGCAGGCUCAGAUUUGUGGCAUGGUCUGUCUCCAGGGUGGCAAAAUAUUAGAAGUGGCAUGCUGUCCAUAUCUGUUUUUAGUUUGGCUUUAUUCUGAAACAGGUUGCAAGCAGAUCAGAAGUGGAUUGGUGCAAACAAGGGUUGUGGGGGAGCAGGCCUAGAAGUGCACCCUCAUCCAAAUGUGCGGAUCCCAUGAGUUUAGUAAUAGGCAUGGAUGGAAUUGGCCUCUCACUGUGCACAAGGGGUGGAGCAAGAAAACGUACACCUGAACAGUUCCUCAGCAAAAUCUGCCCCAUAUGCAUGUUGACAGGAGUAUCCCAUUCACGCUUGUUACUACCCACAUCUGAGGUUUCUCCAUUAGCGAGAAAGAGAAAACAUAUCACAUAUUAGCAUAGCAUAGGUUAUAGUAAAGCAUCUUACACCCAAGCAUUAAGAAUACAAUCAAGAUUAACAAAAUGACAAAAGAAAUAAAAGGGCCAGUACCAAUGUUCCCUUCAAGCCAUGCUUGCAUGCAUGCACACAAAUUUGAGACCAGAGCAUAAACUGUUGUAUAUACAAAGAAUUUUGCAUGAAAACACAUAAUUUUGUUCUUAUUCUGACUGACCCACUUCUCUGUGUUCACUGUUUUAAAUUGCACACAAAAAAUAUUUUUUUGUGCACAUAGUGCGAACAAUAUUAGGAGAAACAUUUGCCCCUACUAUGAUCUCCCCAAAGCCAGAUAUCGCUUGGUCUGGCUGGAAAAUUCACUCCAAUAAGUACUGCAUAGGUUUGUGGAUGUCACCCUCUACUGAUGGUUGUGCACAGGCUCCCACACAUGAUCCAAAUGUUGACCAGAGAGAUCAACUCAAUUUGGCUCAACAUCAGGAAGGCAAGGUUCACUUGUGUAGCAACCUUUUUUUAGUAUAUUUGUUAGCUUACUGCUGAUCGACUGCUGAUUGGCUUUCACUUCUCAAAGCUGAUAAGCAAUAUAAUGCCAUUGGGUAUCAAUUAUUUAAUCAUACAGUAUAGAUUUUUAUUCUUCAGAAAUAUUUGUAUUUUACUGAUUACUAACAGUGAUUUAAUUACACUAAACAUACAUGUAUACUGGCAGACGUGCAUCAGUUCCACAUUUUUAUCAGAUAAGGAGGCCCUAACACAAUUCCAUUAAAUGUAUAACUAGUUUUCUUUAGUUACUUUUGCCAAGUGCAUAACCUUGCAUUUACCAAGGUGACACCUCUUUUUCCAGUUUUCUCCCAAAAUGUCCAGUUUAGUCAAAUCUCUCUGCAAAGUGGCAACAACCUGCAUGGACGUUCUGCCCAGUUAAGUAUCAUAAGCAAAAUCAGAGACAGUACAAUGCCACUGAUAUCAGAUGUCGGUCAUCUCGCCAAAUGGACAGGAUGGAAAAUUUUAUUGGGUGCCCAAACAUCGGCAAAAUGUUAAUUCUGAAUCUUCAGAUAAAGGUUCUGAAUUCUUUUGUUUCUAACUGCACAGCUGAUGAUAGAUAGGAAAGAUCGUAAUUGUAAUGUGUGUGGCCACCUUUAACAACAGAUGCAAAAGUCUUGGUAAUUGCUGAAGGGGAAAGAGUUUAGAGGGCAUAGUGGAGGUACUAAGCAAUAUGUGUUUUGCUAUAAAAUAUUGAGGUUUCUCAAAUUUACUUGUUAUUCUCUCAAAGCUUUCUGUUAUAACAAUGCUGCUGACAACUAUUUAUAGCGAUACAUGUGGUUGAAGCCUGAAGCAUGCUUGCACAUGUGUGACCAGGAUGCUUGAUCAGUAGGAUGAAUUAAAACUCUGCUACUACUGUAAAAAGACUCAUUUAUCAACACCAACCCAGGUGUAAUUUGCACACUGUUGAUAAAAGAACCCCAAUGAGAGAAUCAACAGAGCUGACCUUCUCUAUCAAAUAUGUGCAGUCCCAGUUAACAAACGUUGAAAUUGUUCAAGAAGGCAACUAAAUAAAUAAGAUGUUUGAACUUCA